GUCUAGAGGUAAACUUGAGCGCCGAUCUCGGUUGGCCGCGGCAGCGAACCCGCACUCAGCAGGAGGAGGGCGCGAGCCGCCACCGCGACUCCGACAGGUGCAGGAGCGACGCCACCCGCCGCCGCUGACUGGCGCCUCCCGCCUCGGCCCUCUGCCCAGCCAGCCGGACAGGUGGCCUCAACGCCGCGUCCGUCAUCCCUUCCGGUGUUCCAGAACCCCGACCAGGCCCCGGCCGCCGGCGGCCCGCACGGCCGAACCUCCGUCGGCGCCUCCCCCGCCUCGAAUCCGCCCCCCUCCUGCCGGCUGCCGCGAGUCCUCGACUUCGGCCCUCCACGCCCGCGGAUCUAAUUCCAAGGAAUCUGAAUUAAGACGAACUUUAGUGUGAUGUCUUUCCUGAGAUUGUUACCUCAAAGACUACCUCAUCUUAUCAGGCAGGUGGAGCAAGAUGUUGAGACUGUAAUCCAUGUUCUCCAGCCAGGUCCAAUAGGAAUCGUGGAGCACAAAUUCACAGACGUGGAGAUCCUUGAGGCCAGGGCCACAGUAAAAAGAGCAGUGGAUAAUUGGCAAAGGAACUGGGCCCUUGAGAGAAAUCUUGGUAGUGGUUCUUUUGAUAAAUGGAAGAAGUGAUAUAGCCCUCAAUUAAUCAAUUCCUCAUGACUCCCAGCUGCAGUACUUGAAAUAAAAGGGUGCCAUGGGCUAUGGCUGGCCCCAACCGUUGCCACUCAAUAGUUGAUUUGUUUAUUCCCUUUACGAAUUCAUGGAACUGUGAUGUAUAUACUUCAUGUCCCUAUUGCUGUGACUGUGAAGAACGUCUGCUUAUCGAGUGUUCUGUAAAUUUUUCUAAUUUGCAGCAGCUUUAUGCUUAUGUUGUACUUCAUGGCUUGAAAGGGAUCCGAGUCAGAUUCAAUGGCUUAUUUGGGAGAUUUUUUUUUCAUUUUUCA